rnacentral:rRNA from 1 species
UCCUGAACCCGGGACGAAAUCCCUGUGGAGGGGGCUGACGGUACCGGGGGUAAUAGCGCCGGCCAACUCCGGUGCCAGCAGCCGCGGUAAUACGGAGGGGCGCGAGCGUUACCCGGAUUUACUGGGCGUAAAGGGCGUGUAGGCGGUCUGGGGCGUCCCAUGUGAAAGACCACGGCUCAACCGUGGGGGAGCGUGGGAUACGCUCAGGCUAGACGGUGGGAGAGGGUGGUGGAAUUCCCGGAGUAGCGGUGAAAUGCGCAGAUACCGGGAGGAACGCCGAUGGCGAGAGGCAGCCACCUGGUCCACUUGUGACGCUGAGGCGCGAAAGCGUGGGGAGCAAACCGGAUUAGAUACCCGGGUAGUCCACGCCCUAAACGAUGCGCGCUAGGUCGUCUGGGUUUACUGGGGGCCGAAGCCAACGCGAUAAGCGCGCCGCCUG